GCCCUGAAGUUGCUGCUUUAGUAAGUGCACAGAAAGUAGCAACUGGUGUAGAGAGGAUAAGACCACAUGGACAAGCACUGACUAACACAACUAGUGCUAAGUGGAACCAAUGGUUUAGGUUGUGAACUUUCAUUAUGGCCGGAACAGCCGCUAUGCAACCUGAUAUGAAGAUGAUUGCUGAAACAAACAAGAAACAUAGACACGUCUCAAGUCACAGAAAGCAAGAACAUAAAAAAAAAAUUUGAAAAACAAGAUAAUUUUUCCAAACCUGGUGUAUAGUACUGAGAACAUUUGUCUAUUAGCCUUUGAGAUUUGGUUUUACUGCUCUGAGCUUCUUCUACGAGCUUAGCCAUCUUGGUAACCACACAAUCACUGGCUAAUGCAGUUGUUUUCACACUUAUAUAACCUGCAAAAAACACAGUGGAGAAAGAUACAAAUAUAAGGUCAGAGCUUAAAGCUUUUGUAGUUAAGAGGGUUACAUUACCAUUUAGAUUGAUGGUUCCAGCCCAAACCGUAGAAUCUCUCUGUUUAGGCACGGGGAAUGCUUCUCCUGUUAAGGUUUUCUCGUCUACUUCACAGUUUCCAUCAACCACAAUCCCAUCAAUAGGUAUGGUUUCACCGGCUUUAACUGCUACAAUUGUGUUAACCUUAACAUCAUCUACUUCAACUUCUUCUCCAGUCUCUGCUAUUAUUGCCUUCUGUGGAGCUAAGCUCAUUAGAGACUGCAUUACCGCGUUCGCCUGAAAGAUUACAGAUGACAUGACAACUUCAGCUUUAGAUCAUCCUUACAAGAGAAUCAAGAAAACUCACUACUGUUUUAGUAACAUAAUAAAUGAUCAGUUAACAAACCUUGUAGCUAGCUCUUGUUUCAAGCCACUCAGCUAUGGUGAAUAAGAAGACAACUGCUGCUGCCUCCAUGUAAUCUUGCAUUGCAAGUGUUGCAGCCACUGUUUAAUAUAAGAAGCCCAUACGACAAACAAAAUCAAGAUUCCACAAAAGAUUUUACUUUGAAUAUUCAUAAAAGCUUGCUUUGUACUGUAUGGUUAUUUGUUGACCGGGUCUCUUAUACCGAGAUUCCAGCAAAAAGUAACUAUAAGACAGUCAAUGGCUAAGUCAACUUUAAUAUCAGUUCGAAUUUCUUAAUUAGUUUCUUCACUAGAAAUGAUUUUUAAUUAAUUAUUUGUUGCUUUUUUUUUGUUUUUCCUUGAUACAAGUUCAAACUUAAAAAGUACCUUUUCUAUUUUAGUGGUAGAAGAUAAGCCAAUAAAAACACUUUACAUAUUUCCUUCUAUGGCACGUAAUUGCAACUUUUAUCAAAUAAAUAAAAAUAUAUAAAAAUGAAUAAGUAACAGUCUAACAGAUCUACAAUCAAACGCAUCAUCUAUUUACCUAAAAAAUAACCAAAAAAAUAAUAUAUAUAAUGCUAAAUUAAAUUUAAAGAGCCAGAACAACUCAAAGAUUGUUUUAUAAAGCAAAGAAAAUCGAUCAUGCAAAUACGAUUUCUGGUGCACAGCAUACGGAUAUCACAAAACACAGGCGUGAAAAAUGUCAAAUAAACUCUUGUUAAAGAAAAUGAGAAAGGCGUAUCUUUUUUCUCCAUAUUUUCAAGACGCCUUUAAUUAUUGCGUUAUCUACCACACCAACUUGCCGAGUUUGUCACAUGUUCACUUUACCUAUAUCCAAAGAACAUUUUUGAUAUUUUCUAGUAUAACCUAAUUCUCAAAAUUUAGGUUACAUAGAACUAAAAUAUAAAAAGUAGUUUUGUUUUGUUCUGUAGCUUACAACUUUAAGAUUUUAACUAUAUAAAAGAAAUACCAAAAUACUACAAUAUCAAUGGAGUAGUGUUCUAUAAACUAAAUAUGGUAAGAAAAAAUAAUGAAUACUUUUCUGAAAGGUUAAGUGGGUUAACAGAAAAGCAGUUUACAUAAUUUUCAAAGUACUAUAAAAAAGGUUAAGUCAGAAUUAAAAAAAAAAAAAACUCGCUAAGCUCUAAGAAAACUAGAUAAAACAAUGCAUAUAUACAUGGAUAUAUAUAUAUACAUAAUAUAUAAUAAUAUAUAUCUGCAUUCUAAAUUUAUAAUUUGUUGUGCAUAAUAUUUCUAUUGUAAUAUGUAGUCGUAGUUAAGCUUUAGGAGACAUUAAGAGGCUUGGGUAUCAGUUGAUGUCAUCACCCGAACAAUCGAAAAAACUAGGCUAGGCGGUUAACUUAGAAAAUGGUUUGAGGUUAACCCUACUUAGGGUCUAACCAUAUCCAGUAUUCUUUACAUUUUUUAACAUUUAGCUCACAUAUAAUUAUUUUGUAAACGUCAUCUACCAUUAUUUGAUCAAUAAAUUUGAAAUCUCAUAAAAAAUAUGUAGUGGUAAGAAGUUAUAAUUUAAAUAGGUCUACUAUCAAUUGAACUAAGUUUUUACUACGACCACAAAUUGAUAAGUUUUUCAUUUUAACCAGUACUGCUAUAGUAUGAGCAUAUAUAUUAAUUACGGCGAACCAUUAAACUAACAAAUCACUAUCUUUAAACCUAUGAUGGUUACACGCCAAUCUUGACUUGUGCGGUUAAAAAGAAUUUAUUAAAAAAAUGAAAAGUAGAGUUACCAGUUAUAAUGAUCAGGAUGUUGAUGUCGACCCUGCAUCUUCUUAUAGAAGCAACGGCUUUGGCAAGAAUCGGAUAAAUACCGGCGGCCACGGCUGCGACAGCGAGCCAUCGAAACGGCGAGUACAAAAAUUUAAAGAAGGAGAGGAGGAGGAGUAUGCCGGAAAUCACCGCGAAAGGGCUUGGCCAUUUGUUCUUGAAGCUGGUUUUACCGUCCACUUUCACGUUUGCUUCUAACCUAGCUUGGUUCAGUGCCUUAGCUGCACCACAAUAUUGUUUGUAAUGAAGUCAUUAAACAACUAAAUAGUAUAUGUAAGAAAUCUUUUUUUUAAUAAUAAAUUUCGUGAGUGAAAUAAAUUAUUAUUUAUGUUUAAUAUAUAUGGUUACGUAACGAGUAUGAUCCCACUAACAAUAAAAUAUUCUGAUAGAAAGAUUUGGUAAAUAUCUCGACAGGCUUUUUCUGAAAGAAAAAUUUCUGCAUAUAUAUGUUUUUGGAAAAUCAAAAUCUGUUUAUGAUGUCAGUUAGGUAUAUUGUUUAUACCUUACACGCUUCAUGUUGUAUGUAUGAUUGAAUUAUAUAUAAAGUGCAAAGAGUAGAUUAUAUGCACAUAGAAGCUACGCUCAAAAUUGUAUAGAAGCUUCAAUUUUCAGUUUCUUAGUUUUUAAAUACUGUUUAGUACUCUUAGAUGAACGAAACUGGGGGUUAGAUCAAUUGUACGUAUUCCAUGGUUAAAUGGCGUUCGUGUAGACUAUUUUCAGUUGGUCUAGGCAGAAACAGAAAUCCGUAAAUAUCGUUAGGCUAGAAAAUAUAUUUACCCCCAAAAAUGUAAAAACUAACAAUGGGACUUAUCAAAGCAAAGCUUUUUAAAACAAAAGCAUUUCAUCACUUCGUAAAUGAUGUAAAUAUGGAACUUAAUUUUCUUUGAACAUAACAAUAUUGGACCUUAAAUAUAAGCAAGAAUUUAAAAUUAAUUUUGGUAAAAACUAAACUAUUAAUCUAACCUUAUGAAUGUCAAUCUUUUUUUUCAGGGUCAUUGUUUUUCUUUUUUAGUAAUUUCUAACAAUUUUCUUCUAGAUUUUAGUUUAUUUUAAAAUUUUGAAGACUUAUUUGUUUAGUUGUAGGUUAUAUAGUUCUUUUAAAACAUGAUUUAUAAGUAAGUUGUAUUUUUAUAAAAAGAUUUUUAUUUAUUAACCAUAGAUUCCUUCACCUGGAAAGAGCUGAUAGUCCUCAACUUCUUCAGUCCUAGGCUCAACAUCAACAGAUUUUGCAUAGUCCACAAUUGUUGCUGCCAUUGGAUGACUUGACUUGCUUUCAACACUUGAAACCCUGAAACAUUGUAUACCAAAAAAUCUCAGUCAUGAGUUAUCUCAUCAAACUUGUUUUUGAACAGAACAUAAGUUUGUCUUUUUUUACCAGUAAAGCAAAGUGCGUAGGCUUAUGUCUCUAUGGAGUGACUUGAAAUCAACAACAAUGAACUCUCCUCUGGUAAUAGUCCCGGUUUUGUCGAAGGCAGUGAUCUUGAUCUUUGAGAGAGUGUCAAGAUAAUCAGCACUUUUGAUCAGAAGCCCUGAAGUUGCUGCUUUAGUAAGUGCACAGAAAGUAGCAACUGGUGUAGAGAGGAUAAGACCACAUGGACAAGCACUGACUAACACAACUAGUGCUAAGUGGAACCAAUGGUUUAGGUUGUGAACUUUCAUUAUGGCCGGAACAGCCGCUAUGCAACCUGAUAUGAAGAUGAUUGCUGAAACAAACAAGAAACAUAGACACGUCUCAAGUCACAGAAAGCAAGAACAUAAAAAAAA
rnacentral:lncRNA from 1 species